CCUACGGGUGGCUGCAGUGGGGCAUAUUGGGCAAUGGGCGCAAGCCUGACCCAGCAACGCCGCGUGAAGGAAGAAGGCUUUCGGGUUGUAAACUUCUUUUCUCAGGGACGAAGAAAGUGACGGUACUUGAGGAAUAAGCCACGGCUAACUACGUGCCAGCAGCCGCGGUAAGCCGUAGGUGGCAAGCGUUAUCCGGAUUUACUGGGUGUAAAGGGCGUGUAGGCGGGACUGCAAGUCAGAUGUGAAAACCACGGGCUCAACCUGUGGCCUGCAUGUGAAACUGUAGUUCUUGAGUACUGGAGAGGCAGACGGAAUUCCUAGUGUAGCGGUGAAAUGCGUAGAUAUUAGGAAGAACACCAGUGGCGAAGGCGGACUGCUGGACAGCAACUGACGCUGAGGCGCGAAAGCGUGGGGAGCAAACAGGAUUAGAUACCCUUGUAGUC
rnacentral:rRNA from 1 species